rnacentral:rRNA from 1 species
CAGGACGAACGCUGGCGGCGUGCCUAACACAUGCAAGUCGAACGAGAAUCUAAGGAACGGAGCUCGGCGAAGGGAAUUAGAGGACAGUGGCGGACGGGUGAGUAACGCGUGAGCAACCUGCCCUUCGGAGGGGGACAACAGCUGGAAACGGCUGCUAAUACCGCAUGACAUAUACUAACGGCAUCGUCGGUAUAUCAAAGAUUUAUCGCCGAAGGAUGGGCUCGCGUCUGAUUAGCUGGUUGGUGGGGUAACGGCCUACCAAGGCGACGAUCAGUAGCCGGACUGAGAGGUUGAACGGCCACAUUGGGACUGAGAUACGGCCCAGACUCCUACGGGAGGCAGCAGUGGGGAAUAUUGGGCCAAUGGGGGCAACCCUGACCCAGCAACGCCGCGUGAAGGAAGAAGGCUUUCGGGUUGUAAACUUCUUUGACGAGGGACGAAAAAUGACGGUACCUCGAAAACAAGCCACGGCUAACUACGUGCCAGCCGCCGC